CUUGGGGAAGUGGAUUUGUGGAGUCGACAUAACUGGUUGAGAAAGUGUCCUUGAAGGUGUUUAGGUUUGAUCUUUGCCGAAGGAGACAGCGUAGAUCCCUACACAUUGAAAUCUAAUUUCUACAAGACUAAAAGCUUCCUUUAUUAGUCCCACAAUUCGAAAAUUACUAUGUUUUAAUUUUAUGGAUACUGGAAGCUAGACACCCAAACUAGUUUUACCACUCAUUGUCUUUAAUUUUUUUAAGUGGAAGAGUUCGUUUAAUGUUUAAUAGUUCUACUAGGGACCAAUUCUUAUCACCUUGAAUACUAAAUCGAUUAAGGUUAGGGUACGUAUCUGAGGCUUAAAUCUGCAGUGGGUGGAAUGGAUAGUGUUUGAUAGUAUUUGGCAGUUAAGCCAUCUCGUACUUUCUGAAUACAGAUGAAAAUGUACAAAAACAUUUCGGAAGUUAAAGCACUGAAUACUGGGAAUAAAUUAGGGCAGUGCUGAUUAUUUGGCUUGGGCAUUUGAACGAUGGAGGGCAAGAACCUUGUAACCUUCAAGGUUUGAUCUUUGCCGAAGGAGACGGCGUAGAUCCCUACACAUUGAAAUCUAAUUUCUAAAAGACUAAAAGCUUCCUUUAUUAGUCCCACAAUUCGAAAAAUGUUGUGAAAGCUACGAACCACAAAGUAAGGGGUCGUUAGUAGUGAAGAUUCCCACUGUAGACUGUGAAGAUUCCCACUGUAGACUGUUGGGAGUACUGUAAAUAUAUUUGGUCAGCAA